GACGAACGCUGGCGGCGUGCCUAAUACAUGCAAGUCGAACGAACCGCGACUAGGUGCUUGCACUUGGUCAAGGUGAGUGGCGAACGGGUGAGUAACACGUGGGUAACCUACCUCAUAGUGGGGGAUAACAGUCGGAAACGACUGCUAAUACCGCAUAGGACAUAGGAUCACAUGAUACAGUGAGGAAAGGUGGUGCAAGCUAUCGCUGAGAGAUGCACCCGCGGUGCAUUAGCUAGUUGGGAGGGUAAAGGCCUACCAAGGCGAUGAUGCAUAGCCGACCUGAGAGGGUGAUCGGCCACAUUGGGACUGAGACACGGCCCAAACUCCUACGGGAGGCAGCAGUAGGGAAUCUUCCGCAAUGGACGCAAGUCUGACGGAGCAACGCCGCGUGAGUGAAGAAGGUCUUCGGAUCGUAAAGCUCUGUUGUUAGAGAAGAACAGCGCAUAGAGUAACUGUUAUGCGUGUGACGGUAUCUAACCAGAAAGCCACGGCUAACUACGUG
rnacentral:rRNA from 1 species